AUGUGUGGUUUUCAAGCUAAGGGGAAGGGUUUCUUCUACAUACAUGACGCUAGUACACCCAAGCAAAAUACUGAUAGGAACAGAUAUAUUAUCAUCUCUGUGAUAGAAGGGCAAGCUAGUGGCAGGCAGUUGGAGGAGUUCUUUAAUGCGUACAUUAACACAAAUUGGAAGUGUUCUGCUAGGUCGAUUGGGCCAAAUACUUUUGUGAUGAGAUUUCCUUCACCUAGAGAUGUUGACAAAGCUUGUUUCGCUGAA
rnacentral:rRNA from 1 species